rnacentral:rRNA from 1 species
UGCGUAGGUGGCGCGCUAAGUCAGGUGUGAAAUUUCGGAGCUUAACUCCGAAACUGCAUUUGAUACUGGUGUGCUUGAGGACUGGAGAGGAGACUGGAAUUUACGGUGUAGCAGUGAAAUGCGUAGAGAUCGUAAGGAAGACCAGUGGCGAAGGCGGGUCUCUGGACAGUUCCUGACACUGAGGCACAAGGGCCAGGGGAGCAAACG